UCCGUAGGGGGCAAGCGUUGUCCGGAAUCAUUGGGCGUAAAGAGCGUGUAGGCGGCCCGGUAAGUCCGCUGUAAAAGUCAAAGGCUCAACCUUUGAAUGUCAGUGGAUACUGCCGGGCUAGAGUCCGGAAGAGGCGAGUGGAACUCCUGGUGUAGCGGUGAAAUGCGCAGAUAUCAGGAGGAACACCAAUGGCGAAGGCAGCUCGCUGGGACGUGACUGACGCUGAGACGCGAAAGCGUGGGGAGCAAACAGG
rnacentral:rRNA from 1 species